rnacentral:rRNA from 1 species
GACGAACGCUGGCGGCGUGCCUAAUACAUGCAAGUCGAACGCAGUGGGGACGGGUGAGUAACACGUGGGUAACCUCCCAUCAGAGGGGAUAACACUUGGAAACAGGUGCUAAACCGAUACUGAUGGAUGGACCCGCGGUGCAUUAGCUAGUUGGUGAGGUAACGGCUCACCAAGGCCACGAUGCAUAGCGGACCUGGGAGGGUGAGCGGCAACGUUGGGAGUGAGACACGGCCCAGACUCGUACGGGAGGCAGCAGUAGGGAAUCGUGGGCAAUGGAGGAAAGUCGGACCGAGGAACGCGGGGUGAGUGAAGAAGGUUUUCGGAGGGUAAAACUCUGUUGUUAGAGAAGCGGUAUCUAACCAGAAAGCCACGGCUAACGACGUGCCAGCGGGGGGGGUAAUAG